AUUGAACGCUGGCGGCAUGAUUUACACAUGCAAGUCGAACGGUAACAGGCCGCAAGGUGCUGACGAGUGGCGAACGGGUGAGUAAUGCAUCGGAACGUGCCCAGUUGUGGGGGAUAACUACUCGAAAGAGUAGCUAAUACCGCAUACGAUCUAUGGAUGAAAGCGGGGGACCGUAAGGCCUCGCGCGAUUGGAGCGGCCGAUGUCAGAUUAGGUAGUUGGUGGGGUAAAGGCUCACCAAGCCAACGAUCUGUAGCUGGUCUGAGAGGACGACCAGCCACACUGGGACUGAGACACGGCCCAGACUCCUACGGGAGGCAGCAGUGGGGAAUUUUGGACAAUGGGCGCAAGCCUGAUCCAGCAAUGCCGCGUGCAGGAAGAAGGCCUUCGGGUUGUAAACUGCUUUUGUACGGAACGAAACGGCUCUGGUUAAUACCCGGGGCUAAUGACGGUACCGUAAGAAUAAGCACCGGCUAACUACGU
rnacentral:rRNA from 1 species